GAAGGAUGCGCCCGAGGGGGAGGGAGCAGAGAGCUUCAUUAUCCUUUUCCCCAAACAACUGGGUGGGGUGGGCGAGUGGGUGGGUGGUGGGGAUGUCUGGUCUGUCUUUCUCUCUGUCAUUCCUUUGGUUCCUCCUCUGGUCAAGUCCCUGUCCCUUCUUCCUCUUCCUUCUCUCUCUUUCUGUCCAGUCUCUGUCCUUUUGUCCCCCUUUCUUUCUCCUCUGCCUUCUCUCUUUUCUCUCUAGCAUUCUUUAAUCUCUUUCGGCCCUUUCCCCCUCCUUUUCCAUCUCUCUGUCCUUCUUUCUUUCUUUCUAAUUUUAUUUUUCCUCUGUCUCUUCCUGUCCAUCUUUCUUUUUCUCUUCCCUUUCUUCCUUUUGAUCAUUUCUUCUCUUUCCCUUUCCCUCUCUCUCUGCCUCCCUCCCCCUCUGUCUCUCCCUCCCUUCUGUAUUUCUCUCUCCUUUCUCUGUUCCACCUCCCUUCUCUGUCUCUCUCCCCCUCUCUUCUCUCUCUGUCUCUCCUUUUUCUCUGUCUCUCUCCCUCUCUCUUCUCUGUGCCCUUCCCCCCUUUUCUCCCUUAUCUCUUUCUCUCUUCUCUUUCGGUCCUUUAUCUGCCCCCCCUUCUCUCCCUUUCUUUCUCUCUCCUUCUCCCUUCGAUGUCCCCUCUCCCUUCUCUCUCUCUCACCCUCCCUUUUCUCUCCCCUUCUCUCUCCUCCCUCUCUUCUCUCACCUUUUCUCCUUUCUCUCUGUCUCUCUCCCCUUCUGUCUCUCUCUCCCUUAUCUGUCCCCCCUUCUUUCUGUCUCACUCUCCUUUCUGUCUCUAUCUCCCUUCUGUCUCCCCCUCCCUUCUCUGUCCCCUUAUCUCUCUCUUUCCCUCUCUCUGUCUCUCCCCCUCUCUCUUGUCUCUCUUUCCCUUUCUCUCUUCAAUCUCCAUAUCUCUCUCCCUUCUCUGUCUCUCCCUCUCCCUUCUCUCUCCCCCUCCCUCUUUGUCUCUGUCUCUGUCACUGUCACUGUCCCCCUGCCUCCUAUCUUGUCUUCUUUCCCUUUCUUUCUUUUUCUCCAUCUCACAUUUCUGUUUUUUUUCUCUUUCUUCCUUUUACUCCACCCCACCUUCUUUCUCUACCUCUGUCUCUCCAAUAUGGCCCAUAGCUUCCACAGUCUUCACUGUCAAAAGGUUUUCCAUAGCUCCCAAAGGGUAUGGCUCCAUCCCCUGA
rnacentral:lncRNA from 1 species